rnacentral:rRNA from 1 species
ACUGUCGCCGUUGAUUUCUCACCUUCUGGAGAAGCUCGAUGUCCUUAAUUGGGUGUCUUGCGGAACCAGGACCUUUACCUUGAAAAAAUUAGAGUGUUUAAAGCAGGCAUUUUGCUCGAAUACAUUAGCAUGGCAUAAUAAAAUAGGACGUGCGGUUCUAUUUUGUUGGUUUCUAGAGUCGCCGUAAUGA